rnacentral:rRNA from 1 species
GCCUAACACAUGCAAGUCGAGCGGCAGCACAAGGGAGUUUACUCCUGAGGUGGCGAGCGGCGGACGGGUGAGUAAUGCCUAGGGAUCUGCCCAGUCGAGGGGGAUAGCAGUUGGAAACGACUGCUAAUACCGCAUACGCCCUACGGGGGAAAGAGGGGGACCUUCGGGCCUCUCGCGAUUGGAUGAACCUAGGUGGGAUUAGCUAGUUGGUGAGGUAAUGGCUCACCAAGGCGACGAUCCCUAGCUGUUCUGAGAGGAUGAUCAGCCACACUGGGACUGAGACACGGCCCAGACUCCUACGGGAGGCAGCAGUGGGGAAUAUUGCACAAUGGGGGAAACCCUGAUGCAGCCAUGCCGCGUGUGUGAAGAAGGCCUUCGGGUUGUAAAGCACUUUCAGUAGGGAGGAAAGGGUGAGUCUUAAUACGGCUCAUCUGUGACGUUACCUACAGAAGAAGGACCGGCUAACUCCGUGCCAGCAGCCGCGGUAAUACGGAGGGUCCGAGCGUUAAUCGGAAUUACUGGGCGUAAAGCGUGCGCAGGCGGUUUGUUAAGCGAGAUGU